GUAGGUGUUAUGGGGGAAAAGUAGGUGCCUACUCUGCUAUAACACCAGCAUGUACUCGCGGCUCGCCAGGCCGCAAAGAUGGUCCUUGUGGGCCACAUUCGGCCUGUGGGCCACGAGUUUGACAUGCUUGCUCUAACCAUAAACUAAAUAAUCCCAAACACUAAAUUAAUUCCCAUCCUAAUUCUAAAGACCUUUUAUACAGACUUUUAGUUUCAGUUUGGUUUGAUAAUUUCUGUAUCUAUUCAAAACGUCGUAAUACGUUUAC